GCGGUGUUCAGACAAAUUUCGUGUAAUCAAUUAGAUGCUGCUGCUCUAACCAGAUGGUUUUAUACAUACCUGGCUAGGGCUACAAAACUAUGUUCUCCCUGUUCUGAGGAGUUAGUUGAUUCCCAGAACCAAACAAGAUAAGCAUGAGUUUGUGUUCAUGAACCCAGUACCACUGCUUGCUCGAGGGUGCCCUUUUGGCUCUUGUGGUGUUUGCCUCACCUGUGGGUGCUGAGAGAUGCCAGCCUGGCUCACAAGCUAUGAUGGGGUUAGGGCUCUCGGCCAGGGACUAGCAUCUCCCUGCCUUGGAGUUGUAUGAACACAAAAGCCCACCUUGUUGGUAGGCGAAGUGGCUCAGAUUUGGACAAUUAUCUGUUCUGAAUAUGGGCUUUUAGUUACAAAGGGCCGUGGGCAGGGAACCUGCUAUGAAAACAGUGCAGAGAAACAAUGGUGUCACUAUGUCCAAGCUAGCCCUCCCCCUGUAACAAAUGCCACUCUCAGCUGGCUAGCUAGCGUGGAGUAAUGCAUUAACUGAGUGUGAUAAGGCAAGGGAACUCCGAUACCAGCUUCGUUUUCAGGCCUGUGUUUGUACUGCAGCUAGCACAAAGGGGUCUUGGUCCCUCGGUAGGCCCUGGCAUGUCAAAACAAACGUCAGUUAAGUCAACAGAGCCAUUCACGUUACAGUGAUUUCUAAGUCAUGCUUCCUCCCUUUAAAAAUUCUGGAUGGAAACGUUAGAGGUAUCUGAGAAAUAAGCUGAUAAAACACAGGGAGAAAACGUGGAAACAGCUGGCUUAAAACUCGAGCCUGAUUCCCAUCACCGGCAUUCAGUAAUGUUAUUUAUAUUCUAGUGUAUACAGAAAGCAGAGAGGCCUGAAAAAUAUGGCAUGUGUAUCCCAAUGCUCCUGGAUGGUAGGACAGGAAAUUAACUCCUCAGUCGUGCUGCUGUAUCUGCAGGCGUGCAAGGCCCAAACAGAAUGGUGCUUAUUUCUCCUGGCAUCCUCACAGAGAGUGAUCCUACCAGGUCAUCCUUCCUCUGACCAAAAGGACCAAGUGCUGAGGUUUCAGGUCAGACAGAACCCAUGGGGAUGCUUCUUCAUGCACCAGCCUGGCUCCAUCCAGCUCGCCAGCACCAAAAGGAGGCAUCCGACCCCCCCACGGCACAGGUACAUGCGGCCACAUCACCCCAUGCCAGCUCCUGAGCUCCUUGACCCCAACCCCAGAGCUAAAUUUGCUGAUUAUCUGGUAGAAAACUGAGCAAGGAAGUAAAGCUUUGAUAGAUUUUUUUUUUGCACCAGCUCUUGCCAAUGCCCAACCUGGUGCGAGGGGGUGGUGAGGCUGGGACCAGUGGGAUGUGGGGUGCUUGUGAAAUCCCUUACCCUGGGGGCACUCUGAUAAAACAGCAGACCAUUUCCCAACACCCCCCUGAUGGGAGGGCGAGGAAAUGAGUUAGGGCUGCAUCCCUCACCCAGGACACCGCAGGAUGAGCUCCACGUAAGCCUCUUCCCCUCCCCUCUGACUCAGCUCCCGUGCUAUGCUCGGCUUUUCACUCUUUCCUCAGGCAACUCCGCUGCUUGUCCUGCUCCUGCUGACUCUUUCGCUGACUGGCAGCAGCCUGGUGUUGCUCAACGCUCCCAGUACGUGUCUGUGCCCACCUGAGUGCAGGAUACGGCCUCCCCCUGCCCAUCACAACGGGGGCCAUCGCCCACUCUCCAUCACACCACAUCCCUCCACAUGUGAAGCCUAAAAGUUUUGGGGCACGUGUAGAAAUGGUGAGAAGGUGAUGGAACACCGUCAGGGGUUCGAUAACACGUGAUAUGCUCCCAGCAGACCAGCACGACAGCUCAGGGAGCAGAUACUGCAACGUGUUAAGUCAUUUAUUUGAUGAUGAGGCAGAGAAAGCCAAGAGGACUAGCCUAGAGGAAAGCCUCAUUGCUAUGUGGUGAUGUUUCAAAAUUCCCCUUUUUGUUCUUCCAGCAGCCCAAGAACCUUGUUGGCUUUUCAGACGUGAUCAGGACACUGCUCAGCAUGGGACGGGUGGGGAUGCCACACUUCCAUGACGAGCCAGGAGAGGCCAUGCUAGCCAGGGUUUGCACAGUAGCCCCAGCAGGCUUUGCAGAUGGAAGCUGUUUUAGGAUAAUUUGGUGUCUUUCUAUUCUGCAGAUUUCUUAACGUGUGUGUGAGCAAGCAAUUGGCUGCUGGGACAGGAAGAUGUGACCGUGCAGGCCCUUUGCAGCACUGAAAGCAAACCUGGUGCAGGUUUGUUCACAAGCUGGUGAGUGCUUGAAGAUCCACCCAUGCUUGGUUAUCCUGAAGAGCUGCUCCUGGCAGCAGGUGACACCUACCAGGAGAGACACUUCCCCAUUCCUCCGUACCCGUGGCAGACAUCUCUGCUCCCUAGAGGCUGUGACCAUCACGCAGCCGCAUAAAUAAAGGUGGAUGCAGCGAGACCCAGCACCAUCAGAGCUGACCGCACACGAGGCAACUCACGUCUGGAAGCAGUCAGGCUCUGCUGAGCCCCAGAAGGCACAUGGGUGAGUUACCUUAUCGUAAGCAGCCUAGACUUAAAUUAAACAUGGUUUAUAAGCAGAGGCAUAACGGAGGCAUAUUGGGAGGUUAUGUGCCAUUAUAGGGUGCCCUUGGGAUAUGCUCAUGUGGGUCUCCACCAAUGUGGAGAUCCUGUACUGUGCUCAGUUGUGGGGCUGCUGAGGAGCCCUCCUUGUCCAGCAGCUACAGACGGAUGGCUUUGUGGGUGAUGAUUUGCUUACAUGGGCUUCUGCAUUCAUUGUAUAGAAUAAAUAAUUUACCUCUAAUGUUUGGGAUUUGUAGGGCUUCAGCAGUUAAUUUAGAAGAGCCAGGAGGUGCUGUUUUGUCUAGAAGUGAAUUCUGAACUUAUUAUCUUAAAGUAAAUUCCCUUUCUGCAGGAAGUGCUGGUGUUGCUGCUCUUUGUCCCAGAACUGAGUGAAGUAAAAAAAAAAAAAAAAAAAAAAAAACCAAAAAACUGACAUUUUCUGUGGAAGAGCAAGUCAAGCUCUCAACCAUCUCUUUUCUUUUGCCUUGCUAUAGGCUUUAAGUUUCAUAGCAUCCUUCCCCAUCAAGGGGAAAAAAUCUACACAGGUUUGACAAAGGGCAGAAAACAAUGUUGAGUGGCACUUAGCUCUAAAGGAUGUCUUAAUUUUUUAUGGAAAUUUUCCAAAUUGUAAAACAAGACACCAACCGCCUUAGAUAAGGAAAUAAUCUCUCUUUUCCCACGGGGUGCUGAAAACUGCCCGGCGUAAAAAUAACCCUGUCCCAAGUUGCUUCAAGUGCUUCGUAUCUGCAAAACGCAGGAGACACCGAAUGCUAUAAAAAGUGCCACACGUGGGCUUCUCCGUGUCCGCUUCUUUGAGCUGUCUUAAAAAAAGAAAGAAAAAGGCCAAGUUGGGUAAGAAAAGCCCUCUUAGCUCCCGGGGGGGGGGGGGAGAUGAGGUUCUCCCUGCCCCCCGAGCCCCCCGCCCGCCCCGUCCAGGCUCGGAGCCGCGGUGCGGGCUUUUCUCGGCGAAACCCUGCGAUUCCGGCGUUCCUCGGGAAUGAAAGAAAGUGAUAUGUUGGAGAGGGGAAAGAGGGGGCGUGGGGGUGGGAGGAGGAAGGGCUGUCCUUGAUCCUCCAGGGCGGGCUCUUUUCUCCUUGCUUGAUCUAUGGAGCCCGCCCCCUUAAAUUGGCUCCCGGGAGCGCCCCGUCCACCAGCCCGACGGGGGGAGAGGAGGAAAGGAAGGGAGGGAGGGAGAAGCAGCAGGCAGGCAGGCGGCCGGUUCCCCCGGCCCGGCCCGGCGGUCCCGGCCCCAUGCGCGGCCCCAAAAGCCCCGCGCCCCGCCGGCCCGCCCGCCCCUAACGCCGCCCGGCUCCGGCAGCGCACCGGGGGGCGGCGGUGGGGGGGGGCAAGAAAAAAAAAAUAAAUAAAUAAACGAAGGGAGAGGGAAAAAAGAGGAGGAGAAGAGCCCGACCGCCGCAGGGGGAAGGCUGCGCUCCUCU
ensembl:lncRNA